UUUCCGUAGGUGAACCUGCGGAAGGAUCAUUAACGAAUAUCUAUGGCGUUGGUUGUAGCUGGCUUCUAGGAGCAUUGUGCACGCCCGUCAUUCAUAUCCUCUUUCCACCUGUGAACCAUGUUUAGGCCUGGAUACCCCUCGCUUUGGCAACAAAGCGGAUGCAAGGAUUGCCGCGUCGACAAGGCCGGCUCUCUUUGAAUUUCCAGGUUCUAUGUCUUUUACACACCCCAUUUGAAUGAUUUAGAAUGUAGUCAAUGGGCUUUCAUGCCUAUAAAAAACUAUACAACUUUCAGCAACGGAUCUCUUGGCUCUCGCAUCGAUGAAGAACGCAGC
rnacentral:misc_RNA from 1 species